GAUGAACGCUGGCGGCGUGCCUAAUACAUGCAAGUCGAGCGAACUGAUUAGAAGCUUGCUUCUAUGACGUUAGCGGCGGACGGGUGAGUAACGCGUGGGCAACCUGCCUGUAAGACUGGGAUAACUUCGGGAAACCGAAGCUAAUACCGGAUGGGAUCUUCUCCUUCAUGGGAGAUGAUUGAAAGAUGGUUUCGGCUAUCACUUACAGAUGGGCCCGCGGUGCAUUAGCUAGUUGGUGAGGUAACGGCUCACCAAGGCAACGAUGCAUAGCCGACCUGAGAGGGUGAUCGGCCACACUGGGACUGAGACACGGCCCAGACUCCUACGGGAGGCAGCAGUAGGGAAUCUUCCGCAAUGGACGAAAGUCUGACGGAGCAACGCCGCGUGAGUGAUGAAGGCUUUCGGGUCGUAAAACUCUGUUGUUAGGGAAGAACAAGUACAAGAGUAACUGCUUGUACCUUGACGGUACCUAACCAGAAAGCCACGGCUAACUACGUGCCAGCCGCCGCAGUAACAC
rnacentral:rRNA from 1 species